UACAGAGGUCCCAAGCGUUGUUCGGAUUCACUGGGCUUAAAGGGCGCGUAGGCGGACUCGCCAGUCUGUGGUGAAAGCCCCCAGCUUAACUGGGGAAGUGCCGUGGAUACUGCGAGUCUGGAGGAGGGUAGGGGCAUCUGGAACGCUGGGUGGAGCGGUGAAAUGCGCAGAUAUCAGGAAGAACACCCGUGGCGAAGGCGGCUCUCUGGGACGGUACUGACGCUGAGACGCGAAAGCGUGGGGAGCGAACAGG
rnacentral:rRNA from 1 species